rnacentral:rRNA from 1 species
CAAUAGCGUAUAUUUAAGUUGUUGCAGUUAAAAAGCUCGUAGUUGGAUUUCGAAUGGGAGCGGUGGGUCGGGUCCGCAAGGGCUCGUUACCUGUUUCGUCUCCGGUUCUUUUUCGGGAUUUGUUUCUGGCGUGGCUGGCAUUGAGUUGUCGGUGGCGUCGGGCCCGUCGUUUACUGUGAACAAAUUAGAGUGUUCAAAGCAAGGUGUGUCUUGAAUACAUUAGCAUGGAAUAAUGAGAUAGGACUUUGGUGGUUUCGGUGAAAGCCGGAUAUUUUGUUGGUUUGCACGCCAAAGUAAUGAUUAAUAGGAGCAGUUGGGGGUAUUCGUAUUCAAUUGUCAGAGGUGAAAUUCUUGGAUUUCUAGAAGACGAACUACUGCGAAAGCAUUUACCAGGGAUGUUUUCAUUAA